GAUGAACGCUGACAGAAUGCUUAACACAUGCAAGUCGACUUGAAUUUGGGUUUUUAACUUCGGUUUGGGUGGCGGACGGGUGAGUAACGCGUAAAGAACUUGCCUCACAGCUAGGGACAACAUUUGGAAACGAAUGCUAAUACCUAAUAUUAUGAUAAUAGGGCAUCCUAUAAUUAUGAAAGCUAUAAGCGCUGUGAGAGAGCUUUGCGUCCCAUUAGCUAGUUGGAGAGGUAACGGCUCACCAAGGCGAUGAUGGGUAGCCGGCCUGAGAGGGUGAUCGGCCACAAGGGGACUGAGACACGGCCCUUACUCCUACGGGAGGCAGCAGUGGGGAAUAUUGGACAAUGGACCGAGAGUCUGAUCCAGCAAUUCUGUGUGCACGAUGAAGUUUUUCGGAAUGUAAAGUGCUUUCAGUUGGGAAGAAACAAAUGACGGUACCAACAGAAGAAGAGACGGCUAAAUACGUG
rnacentral:rRNA from 1 species